UCGUCAUAUGCUUGUCAGAAGGAUUAAGCCAUGCAUGUCUAAGUAUAAACUAAUUAUACGGUGAAACUGCGAAUGGCUCAUUAAAUCAGUUAUAGUCUACUUGAUCGUACCAAUUUUUCUUACUUGGAUAACCGUAGGAAAUCUAGGGCUAAUACAUGCUAAAAACGCUGACUAUCAAGGGGAAACUCUUGGUUCGGAAGGCGUGAAUUUAUUAGAUUAAAAACCAAUGUGGGGUUCGCUCCACUUUUUCCCUAGACGAUUCAUGAUAACGCAUCGAA
rnacentral:rRNA from 1 species